GGAGAACUUGGAAGAAUACUUAG
rnacentral:piRNA from 1 species